GUCAACGGCCAUACCACAUAGAACUCACCCGGUCUCGUCAGCUCCCGGAAGUUAAGCUAUGUCGGGUCCCGUUAGUACUUGGAUGGGUGACCGCUUGGGAAACUGAAUUUUCACGUCAGCA
rnacentral:rRNA from 1 species